rnacentral:tRNA from 1 species
GAAAAAUUAGUUAAAUAAAUAACAUAAGCCUGUCACGCUUGAAUUAUCUCUUAGAUUAUUUUUCU